rnacentral:rRNA from 1 species
UAGGGGAGAUCUGACGGUACAUAAGGAUAAGCACCGGCUAACUCCGUGCCAGCAGCCGGUUAAUACGGAGGGUGCAAGCGUUACUCGGAAUCACUGGGCGUAAAGGGCGUGUAGGGAACAUAUCAAGUCUCUUGUGAAAUCUAAUGGCUUAGCCAUUAAACUGCUUGGCAAACUGAUAGGCUAGAGUGAGGGAGAGGCAGGUGGAAUUGGUGGUGUAGGGGUAAAAUCCGUAGAUAUUACCAAGAAUACCCAUUGCGAAGCCAUCUGCUGGCACUCACCUGACGCUAAGGCGCGAAAGCGAUCUAGCAAACAGGAUCACAUGGCGUUGCACUCCCACGCCCUAGAGCAUGUACUCUAGUUGGUUGGGGGCCUAGCAACCUGUGUAAUCCGGCUAAGGCAUAAGGGUCCCCGCUGGGGAAGUCCGUUCGCUGGCUUAAA